CAGCCUCCGCGGUAAUACGGAGGGUGCAAGCGUUAAUCGGAAUUACUGGGCGUAAAGCGCACGCAGGCGGUCUGUCAAGUCAGAUGUGAAAUCCCCGGGCUUAACCUGGGAACUGCAUUUGAAACUGGCAGGCUAGAGUCUUGUAGAGGGGGGUAGAAUUCCAGGUGUAGCGGUGAAAUGCGUAGAGAUCUGGAGGAAUACCGGUGGCGAAGGCGGCCCCCUGGACAAAGACUGACGCUCAGGUGCGAAAGCGUGGGGAGCAAACAGGAUUAGAUACCCGCGUAGUCCCUGUCUCUUAUAA
rnacentral:rRNA from 1 species